CUGCCACACUCAGGUGAUGGCUUCUCUCAAAUCACAGGAGAAGUUCUCUUGGUCUCUAGUGCCACAUAGUGCAGGAAACACCAGCAUUUUAUGAUUAGUUUGCCUUGCCCUAUCUCCAUAUCACUGUCUUUGAAUGAACACUUUCAUAAAACAUAUUGAUGUCUACUGGUGAAAAGCAUUGCAGGAUUGUCCCUCGAUGACAACACUGGAGCUCUAGAUCCCAUGGAGUGGCAAGGUGUCCCAACCCAAUUCUCUUCUCUCCCUCCUUCUCAGCCCCCUGGUCAAGGCACAGCAGCCACCCAAACAUGGAUCCUGACCUGCCUGACAAGGCACAAGCAUGCCAGAGGUCAGCCUCCCCCUCUUUCAGCUCAGUGGGGAGCAAGACUGCUACCCUUGUUUCAGAGGAACUCCAAUGAAGAACAUCUCUCUGCC